ACUUGGUUUUGAGAUGGCUCAGUCUGUAGAGCAUGAGACUCUUAAUCUCUUAAUCUCAGAGUUGUGGGUUCAAGCCCCACAUUGGGCA